UACGAAGGGGGCGAGCGUGGUUCGGAAUUACUGGGCGUAAAGGGCGCGUAGGCGGCGACUCAAGUUAGAUGUGAAAGUCCUGGGCUUAACCUGGGGACUGCAUUUGAUACUGGGUUGCUUGAAUUCGGGAGAGGAUAGCGGAAUUCCCAGUGUAGAGGUGAAAUUCGUAGAUAUUGGGAAGAACACCGGUGGCGAAGGCGGCGACCUGGUCCAUUACUGACGCUGAGGCGCGACAGCGUGGGGAGCAAACAGG
rnacentral:rRNA from 1 species